rnacentral:tRNA from 1 species
UCAUACAAGUCGUUUCUAUGAAUGGUCCCAAAAAAGCUGGGGAAGCAUUCUUCAUAUGAAGCCGCGGUAGCUGAUUGAUACCAG